rnacentral:rRNA from 1 species
GACGAACGCUGGCGGCGUGCUUAACACAUGCAAGUCGAACGGUGACCUCGAGAGCUUGCUCUCGGGCGAUCAGUGGCGAACGGGUGAGUAACACGUGAGUAACCUGCCCCAGACUCUGGAAUAACCCCGGGAAACCGGAGCUAAUACCGGAUACGAGACGGAGUCGCAUGGCUACCGUCUGGAAAGUUUUUCGGUCUGGGAUGGACUCGCGGCCUAUCAGCUAGUUGGUGAGGUAACGGCUCACCAAGGCGACGACGGGUAGCCGGCCUGAGAGGGCGACCGGCCACACUGGGACUGAGACACGGCCCAGACUCCUACGGGAGGCAGCAGUGGGGAAUAUUGCACAAUGGGCGCAAGCCUGAUGCAGCAACGCCGCGUGAGGGACGACGGCCUUCGGGUUGUAAACCUCUUUUAGCAGGGAAGAAGCGCAAGUGACGGUACCUGCAGAAAAAGCACCGGCUAACUACGUGCCAGCCGCCGCAGUAAAAC